rnacentral:misc_RNA from 1 species
UGCCUUUUUGCAAAAUUUCUGCACCAAAAGAAGAAUAUAAUAAAAAUAUAAAAGAAAAUGUUUAGAUUGUCAUAUGAUAGCACCAUAAUUCAAGGAGAGUACAUGUUAGAAGCUGGAGUUCGUACUUUCUUUUUCCCUUGCAGGGGAGUGCCACAGGAUUAUACGUGUAUACAAGCCAACCACAUGCAUGACCCAUUAGAGAACAGAUGAAUUUCAAGCUAUUACUUCAAUAUCAUUACUCAUCAGACUUCCUAUUCCUGGACUUACCAUGUGCUUGAGGACUUCCCUAUUAUAUUUUCCCAACUUACAUAUGCUUUAAUGAAAAUGCAAUGCAGAUGUUGAAAGGGAAAAGGAGAAAAGAGGGGAUGGGGAAUCUGUACAUGCAUUUCAUUCACACAUGAUUAUUACCGCCACUACAAAAUUUUAAUGUGUUUUUAUGGAUUCCCAUUAAGUACU